rnacentral:rRNA from 1 species
AACGAACGCUGGCGGCAGGCCUAACACAUGCAAGUCGAACGAGACCUUCGGGUCUAGUGGCGCACGGGUGCGUAACGCGUGGGAAUGUGCCCUUAUGUUCGGAAUAGCUCUCGGAAAGGGGUGGUAAUACCGGAUAAGCUCUUCGGGGAAAAGAUUUAUCGCCGUAGGAUGGGCCCGCGUUGGAUUAGGUAGUUGGUAGGGUAAUGGCCUACCAAGGCGACGAUCCAUAGCUGGUCUGAGAGGAUGAUCAGCCACACUGGGACUGAGACACGGCCCAGACUCCUCCGGGAGGCGGAAGUGGGGAACAUAGGACAUGGGGCGAAAGCCUGAUCCAGCAAGGCGGGGUGGGUGAUGAGGGCUUUGGGGUUGUAAAGCUCUUUUGCCCGGGAGAUAAAUGCCGGACCCGGAAAAGUAGGCCCGGCCUAACUCGGG